rnacentral:lncRNA from 1 species
GGCGGGGUCGGCGACCGCGGCAGGUUGGGGCGGCUGCUCGCUCGCGCGCAGAACGCGGCGGUCAGCUGCGCCCGGCCUGAAGUUGUCCCAACCGCGGCCGCGUCGGUCGCCCUUUUGACUUGCAGCAGGGCGGGCAGAGCGACUUAGAGGAAAAGUGACUUUUUGUACCCUCCUGCAGGGAGCAGGUUCUCUGUCCUUGUUUAAUUAGACAUUUCUCAGGUGGGCACUUUGAAUUCCUUCCAGUCAAGACUCAGGUGUUCAACUUGUUUUGUCGGCCGUCUUCCUCCACCCUUCUUCUCCCAUUCAAAACAAAAAGAAUCCUGCCUCUGCUCUGAAGCCUUUCUGUUCGCUCCAGUGAAAAUUAGUCAUCCACCGGGCGCGGUGGCUCACGCCUGCAAUCCCAGCACUUUGGGAGGCCGAGGUCUGGGCUUGAUGUUCACCGAUUUUCCCUCAGCUCCGACUGUGGCUCCUCUCAGCUGACUCUGACCCUGCUCUCAGCCGGGCUGCAUCUGCCCAUCUCAGCACAUCAAUAAACAGCAGAGGGAAACUACCACCUUGGAAGGAGCCAGGCAGUUUCUGCUGGGUAGGCCGCAGCCUGGAACAUGGAAGUAGCUUCUUCCAUCCUACACUGGAAACCACCCAGCAUCCCGGGCCCUCCAGAGAAGAGCCAGACUCCCUUCCCUGGGAAGAGACUAUAGUCCUAUCUGUAUCCUCCGUGGUCAUUGCCCCUCAGUCACAGCAAUGAAGAGCAAAUUACCUGUUUUCUGUAUGUUCCUCUGACAACAACUGCCACAGAGUAAAUAUGAAAGGUUCUGGAUGAUUCCUUGUCAGCUUUUAUUAAAAUUCCACAUACUUGGCAUU